GACGUACCACCCAAACGUUAUUCGGAUUCACUGGGCUUACAGAGUCCGUAGGCGGUCAAGAAAGUUAGGCGUGAAAUCCCUCAGCUCAACUGAGGAAUAGCGCUUAAAACUACUUGGCUAGAGAGGGUCAGAGGUGAGCGGAACUGAUGGUGGGGCGGUGAAAUGCGUUGAUAUCAUCAGGAACACCGGUGGCGAAAGCGACGCUCUGGUCCAUUACUGACGCUGAGGUGCGAAAGCCAGGGGAGCAAACGGG
rnacentral:rRNA from 1 species